UACGUAGGGUGCAAGCGUUGUCCGGAAUUAUUGGGCGUAAAGAGCUCGUAGGCGGUCUGUUGCGUCGGCUGUGAAAUCCCGAGGCUCAACCUCGGGUCUGCAGUCGAUACGGGCAAACUGGAGUGUUGCAGGGGAGACUGGAAUUCCUGGUGUAGCGGUGAAAUGCGCAGAUAUCAGGAGGAACACCGGUGGCGAAGGCGGGUCUCUGGGCAACAACUGACGCUGAGGAGCGAAAGCGUGGGGAGCGAACAGG
rnacentral:rRNA from 1 species